rnacentral:tRNA from 1 species
GGUCCUGUAGCUCAUUUGGACAGAGCAUCGGCCUUCUAAGCCGAGGGUAGUGGGUUCGAGCCCCGCCAGGACCGCCA